CUCUUUUCCUUGUGCAAGUGUGUUCCUCUGUUUGAUGCUAAAGAUGGAUGCUCUAAAUGAAACACUUCUCAAGUGUUGUUGCUUCCUUUUGUAGUAUUCUUACCUUUAGCGUCAAGAGACGAACACACUUGCACACAGAAAAACGG
rnacentral:pre_miRNA from 1 species